UACAGAGGGUGCAAGCGUUAAUCGGAAUUACUGGGCGUAAAGGGUGCGUAGGUGGUUACAUAAGUUAGGUGUGAAAGUCCAGGGCUUAACCUUGGGACUGCGCCUAAUACUGUGUGGCUAGAGUACUGUAGAGGAAGGUGGAAUUUCCAGUGUAGCGGUGAAAUGCGUAGAUAUUGGAAGGAACAUCAGUGGCGAAGGCGACUUUCUGGACAGAUACUGACACUGAGGCACGAAAGCGUGGGGAGCAAACAGG
rnacentral:rRNA from 1 species